rnacentral:pre_miRNA from 1 species
CAGGUACUCCCUUCGUUCGGAAUUACUUGUCGCAGAGAUGGAUGUAUCAAGAUGUAUUUUAGUUCUAGAUACAUCCAUUUCCGAGACAAGUAAUUCCGAACGGAGGGAGUAGUUG